CAAGACAAAGCACCUUAUGGAGACGUCCACAUGGAGAGGAACCAAAGCUUCUGACCCUCAGCCCGGCCAACAGCCCCAGCCAACAGCCAGCACCAUCUUGCUGGCCACGUGAGUGAGCCGUCUUGGAAGGAGAUCCUCUGGCAGACAGUCAAGUCACCCCAGAGGAAGGAGAGAGAAGCCAUUCUUGCCAAGCCGUGCCCAAAGUGCUGAUCUGGUUUCCAGAGGUUGGAGCCAGCUGCUGGUGCUGGUUCUACACUGUGUGAUGUGUCUUCUCUCUAAAGGACUGCUCAUCCGUGGCGCAAAGAACCCAUCCUAGAGCCACCCCAGGAACUAGAAAAAACAAAUCUUUUGCCAGAAUUAUGAUCUUCCAAGAAUACAAUGAAACGUGUGCCAUGGAGGCAUUGGUUAGACUUAUGGGCAUUACAGAAGGUUCUGUCUCAGAAAAAUACAGGAACCUGCCUGCUCAAAGAUGUUUUGGAGAUCCAAAAGAAGAGGUGCUGAUUACAUGGCAUAUUCACUUCAUGUAAACCUAUCAAGCUGUAUAAUGCUGAACUAAAACCAAUAAAACACCGGGUUAUUUUAUCACCAAAAUGGGUUUAUCCAGGAACAGAAGAAUUGCAACUCAGGUCUCACAAUCUAUGAGGAACUACAGGCAAGCCCAGAGAGCAAAGGAAGGGAGUCUGCUUUUAUAAGGAAAAGGGGGGAGUUGGGAGGGGCUAUUCUACGUGAAAGUUCGUUGGAGGAAAGUAGGAGUUCAGGGGUGGCAAUGACUUCUCAUUGGCUGGGCUGUUGCUAAGCGAGGAGAAAUUCUUCCUUUGGUAUAGUAAAGCGGUUGCCCCUCCUGUUUGGGAGUGCAAGGUAGUUUGUUUCCGUGGGGUACACAAUUGGCAUCAAGGAGCAGGGCAUGAGAGCUCCCCCUUCUGGCCUCUUGACUCCAUCUUUUCUUUUGUUUUAUAAUUUUAUUUAUUUAUUUAUUUUUGGCUGC